UAACUUAGUAUUGGCACUUUAGUGCUGCAUCACUGUCAACCUUCAGCGCCUGGAAAAUAUCAACAGUCUAUCAAGACUUCAUCCUGCCAGGCGGAUAUGGAAAAACAUCACACCGUAAAGGGCCAGGCAGAGGCCGGGAGAGUGCCCAGGUAUCAAAGGCAACCUCAGGGUUUUAGACAACCUGCUGAGUUCAGAAGAGGGCCUGACCGGAGGAGAACUCCCUGGGUACCACCAGAGCGCCGCACCCCUGUGAGAGAAAUCUCCAACCGAGUUCCUCAGCAGUGUGUGAGUAGUGACACAAAUCUGACCACCGAGCCUAAGGAAGAUGACGAGAUGACACAUUUAGAUGUACUGAAUAUGUCAAGGGGAAAAAAUGAUGGUAUUGUGGUAGAGGCCUCCACCCAGGCCACAACACAAGUCCCUCAGAUUGAGUUUCAGCAACCCAGGGUGAGAGAGACCAAGCAGGCCACCACCCUCAAGACAGAGGGUGAGAAGAAAAUGCAGGCUGAACCCUGCAACGAGGUAGAUGCUUCACCCCAGCAGGCCAUGAUUUAUGUCUCUGAGCUAGAACAUCAGCAGUUCCAGAGACAAAGAGACCGCAUCACUCAACUGAAGAAUGGAAAUGAGGCUUUAGCAGCUGAGAUGGAGCAGUUAAAGAAAAUGCUCCAGAUGAACAAGACUCUUCAUGAUCAGACCGAGCAGAAGAGGAUGGACGAGGUGAAGGACUUGGAGCUUCAGUUUUUAGAGAAGAAAGCCUCUGAAAUUGAAGCUGUCUGUAAAGUCGAGAAACUGAAGAUAACUCUCCAGAGACAGAAGGACAGACGGGUAGAACAAGACGUGCUUCUGGCUCAACAGGAAGUGGACAUCACCAAACUGAAGACUGCACUGAUUCAGACACAGGACGAACUAAAGAGUCAUCAGCUGCGUAGGCAGGAGGAGAGGUCACUCCUCAAUGAAAACCUUAAAGACAUCCAGCACGCCCUGCAGGAGAAAAAAGCUAUGCAGGAAAGAAAACAGCAGAUGAAAAGGGUCGAGAAAUUGCCCUCUCUGGAAAAAGAUUCUCCCAGUUCUUUAAGUAAACUGGAGGCCACCAUAUCCCCCCAAGCAAAUCCCCCAAUGAACAACUCAUCCUCCAUGCCUACCCCCCACCCAAUCAUCACCUCGUCCUAAAAUAUGCCCAACCCUGGUUUUCAUCUGUUUACUCCAAAUUAAAAACAGAGAUAAUGGGCAAUCGCUUAACAUCGUACCCAAAUAUGCCCAACCCUGGUUUUCAUCUGUUU